rnacentral:misc_RNA from 1 species
ACGGACGAUGGCGACUACAACAUCAAGCUGCGCAACAUCCGCCGCUUCCUCGCCGAAGGCGACAAGUGCAAGAUCACGCUGCGUUUCCGCGGUCGGGAAAUCACCCACCAGGAAAUCGGUCUGGCCCUGCUCAACCGCAUCCGCGACGAUCUGGGCGACACCAUCCUGAUCGAGCAGUUCCCGAAGCUCGAAGGGCGGCAGAUGAUCAUGAUGAUCGCCCCCGGCAAGCGCAAGCCUGCCGCCAAGCCGGCAGCGGAAGGGGCCGCAGCGUCCACCUGAUCGGUGGGCCUGUUUUGAAGGAAUGUUCCCGGGAGCA